AAAGCGAGCGGCGGAUGGGUGAGUAACACGUGGGGAACCUGCCCCUAAGUCUGGGAUACCAUUUGGAAACAGGUGCUAAUACCGGAUAAUAAAGCAGAUCGCAUGAUCAGCUUUUGAAAGGCGGCGUAAGCUGUCGCUAAGGGAUGGCCCCGCGGUGCAUUAGCUAGUUGGUAAGGUAACGGCUUACCAAGGCGACGAUGCAUAGCCGAGUUGAGAGACUGAUCGGCCACAUUGGGACUGAGACACGGCCCAAACUCCUACGGGAGGCAGCAGUAGGGAAUCUUCCACAAUGGACGCAAGUCUGAUGGAGCAACGCCGCGUGAGUGAAGAAGGUUUUCGGAUCGUAAAGCUCUGUUGUUGGUGAAGAAGGAUAGAGGUAGUAACUGGCCUUUAUUUGACGGUAAUCAACCAGAAAGUCACGGCUAACUACGUGCCAGCAGCCGCGGUAAUACGUAGGUGGCAAGCGUUGUCCGGAUUUAUUGGGCGUAAAGCGAGCGCAGGCGGAAAAAUAAGUCUAAUGUGAAAGCCCUCGGCUUAACCGAGGAACUGCGUCGAAAACUGUUUUUCUUGAUUGCAGAAAAAGGAGAGUGGAACUCCAUGUGUAGCGGUGGAAAUGCGUAAAUAUUUGGAAGAACACCA
rnacentral:rRNA from 1 species